UAUUUCUGUCUCAUCUCCCUCAUCAAACCCUAACGCCGCCUUGCCAAUCUCCGCCAUGUUUGUCGGCGGCGCUACCUCCAAUCAACCCCAAAUAAAAAUCACACAACCCUCACUCACCCCCGACUCCCAAGCCAUCACCAUAUUCCUUCAAAUCAACGCCAAACGAACCCAAUCUUAGAUCUGAAAAAGGCAGGAGAGAAAACAACAAAUCUUUCGAAUUUUUCUCAGUUUUGACAAGAUAUUAGGAGUCGAAUCUGGCCUCGCUCGUCUUUUCUUGACAAGAAUACAUGGUUGAGGCCAAUUUCGACUCAAAAUCAACACAUCUGCAUGCUUUCAAUCCAUGCUCGUUUGUAGUUUCCUUUAGGUACUCUCUUUCUUCUAUUUUUCCCGUUCUUUUAUUCUUUUUCUCAUCUUUAUCUCUUUCUAUCUCCUCUUUUCUUUUUUCUUUAUUAUGUUUUCGUUUUUAAUCAGUGUUGUUGCAUGAUUAAACUAAUAGAAAGUUUAGUUAUUUUUGUUUUGGUUCUUAUUAGUUCCUUUCCCCUUUCUGUUUUGGUUUCAUUCCAAUGGUCUCUGCUUUUUCUUUUGGACAAUUCCGGUUAGCCCAUUAGUUUUGUGAGCUUAGAUUUUGAUUGGAAUGUGGGCUGUGUCAACAGAGGAGCAAAGAGGAAAUUAGGCUGGGUGCAACCCGAUUUGGGGUUGUUGUUUGGGACAAUUUGACCCAUUUGGUUCCAAAGAUAAAUAAUAUAGGUUUUAAGGUUAGUCUAGAAAUUUUAGUUUAGGAAAUCUAUCAUAACUGACUUAGGAAACUUCCUGAAAGGUGAGUUUGCGACUGUAUAAAAAAUAAACUUUAUAUUCAGGAAUUCACUAGCAAAAAUGAGAAUUAUAAAACGAGUAAAGGUCAAAAAGUGAAAUCAUUUCUGUUGUCCUAGAGCUCCUCUAUAAAAGGCUUUUACUUCCUAAUCAGGUGAGAUUUUUUGGAGAAUAAAAAACACUGAAAAGCUUAGAAAAUGGCUGAGUCUCUUUCAAACUCCAAAAAUACUGAAAAUUACUGAACGAUUUACUUGGUUUCUGGUUCUUUGAUUCCCUUUGGUUAAUUAGAUUUUCUAGAAGUUCCAAAUCGUGCACCUGGAUUAAAAAUGGUUUGCGGUUGGUUUAAAAGUUUGGUUUGAGUUGUUGUUUGGCACUGGUCCAUUGCUGUUGAUUUACUGUUGCUGCUUCCUCCUAAUCUCAGGCUUUUAUUCUGGUUUAUUUUGUUGUAUUCAAGUACAUGUUUCUGGAUCCUACUUAUGUGAGGCUCGAUUUGAAGUAUGAAAUUGAAAUAUGGAGCUUUAAGCAUAGCAUCGACUCACCUGCUCAUAAUUUAGCUUUAUUUUCGGCAUUACAUUGUUCUGAGUUGUCUGAUGUAUUGCAUUUUAUCCGGGCUGCUGACAGUACUCUCUUAGGGGCUAUAUUUGGACUUUACUUAACAUGGAAUUCAAUUAUCUGUCAAGUAUCUUAUAGCUAGAUGUUGCUGUGAUAAUUGAACUCUUAUCAUUGUAUUUGAUCUUGGACUAUUAUGAUGGAAACUUGAUGAACAAUAUGCUUAGUCAGAUCAGUUGCUAAAUUCUAUGCGCAAUCAUGUUGAUAUUGUGUAAUUUGGACUGAAAAUUUGAACUCUGUCUAUCAUGUAAUUAAUUUGGAUUGUUGUAGUAUGGUUUAUUGUAGACAAGUAGUAUCUUAUCUUGGAAGUUAUUGACUGAAUUGUUUCCCAACUAGUAGUCAAUCUACAGUGAGUUUUCUAAUACUUUUGUUGUGCCUAUAGAUAUUAUACUUGGAAGUAAAUAUUUGUGUUUGUUUCUUUUCAAAGUUUGGUACUGGAUCAAACUGCAACUCUAAUAUUGUAAGUAUGUGGGUAGAAGUGAAUGGCGCAAUAUCUGAUUUUUGAAUGAAUCUCAUAGGGUGACAUUAAUUUGACUAGUAGCAUGUUUAGUAAGCCAUUUUUAAGUUUAGCAAGUAGUAUUGUAAUUUAGACCCUAUGGUCAUCUUGAAGGACAGUAUUGCUUUUAAAAUCGCUUACAU
rnacentral:lncRNA from 1 species